AAAAAUUUAGUUAAAACAUAACGUCAACUUGUCAAGUUGAAAUUAAUAAUUAAUUAUUAAUUUUUA
rnacentral:tRNA from 1 species